AGGAGUGCGGUCAAAUGCGAGCCCCGCCUAACGGCGCCGUGCGGGCUCGAGCCGCGCUGUCCCUUCCCCGCUUGGGUUUCAGCCGGCGGAAUGCUCUCCCGCCGACAUCGCGCCCGUGAGCACGCAGGAGCCUGGGGCUGGGCGAAGAACCAGCUCAUUAGGGCUGGUGUAACCACUAGGCGGCUGCUAAGGAUGCCAAGAUUUGGGGGCACCAAAAAGCGGUAUCUGGCAUCAUGGGAGUCAACUGAGUGGGGCAGGGCGGGGAGCGAGGGGCACCACGCAGGAUGGUCAGUGGGAGCCUGUGGCGAAGCAAGGAGGAGACAGCUGAUUGGGCAUGACGACCAGCACGGCCAAGGGACAGAGCUGUUGGGGGAGGCAGGACGCAGUCCUGAGCUCAGUGUGGAAAUUGAUUCAACAUAAAGAAUGCCCCCGUCUCCAUACCGUAAAGUAGUACAUUUGAGAGCCAUGGAUUUCAGAGGCUCUCAUAUACAACAGGUACAGAAUGGACAAAUUUAUACCAAGGAUUGCAAACACAAGACAUGCCAAAGAAGACUUCCUCACCAUAUCCAGCUUUUUCUAUCCUUUCCUGAGUGCUGUCAAUAGGGGGCAGCUGAUAAUGAAUCACGCACAGGGGAAUUCCAACUCUCAUAAUAUAAUUAACUCAAAAUAUGCUGGACAUUGGAGAGUUGCCAGAGGCAGUUCCUUGUUCCUCAAAAGGAAGUCCUAUACAGAAUUGUUCAUUACACACAAGCUAAUUUUAGAAUGUAUAAUUAAUUUAAAAGGGACACUGUAAAAUUUGGGUGGCCCAAAAUUUGACCUGCCUUUUUAUUUUUAAGUUAGAGGGGCUUCACCAACCAAUUCUUCACAGGGAAAAUCCUGACUCAAAGGUCUACACUGCAGUGUAAGCCCAGGGUUAGUAGAAUUCGAAUUAGCAGAUCCUGGGUUUAAUGUAGGGUUUGAGCAUCUACACUCAUUUGUAACUCAUUGUUGAACCCUGGGCCCCAACAUGGGGUCUGUCUACAUUGUAUUAUGCAGGCCCGAAUGCAACCACCCAUAUCUGAGACUUCCUAGUGCCCUCACAAAAUGUGGCUGAUCUAGCCGUUUGUUCAUAGUGAAGUGUGGGAAAACAUGACCGUGCAGCAAACUUGACUGUCCAGAGGACAAAGGAAGUACGUCAGUGGGAUGCUUUUGGUGGACUUCCUGAGAUUGCGUAUACACUGCAAAGCAAUAGGCUCGAACCGUGAGUCCCAGCUUGACUCAGGGUCAGACCCUCCAUCCCCGUGGAGUCCUGGGUCCAUGCUCUGGAUUAGUGUGGUUUGUGUGUAGAUGGAAGGAAGGUAGGCUUGAGCCUGAAUUCAAACCCUGGUCUUACAUUGCAGGAUAGACAUACCCUAAGUCUCCACAACAUAGAGCCCACCAAAACUGUGUGACCUGCCUGCUAUGCAGGCAGAUGUUAACAAUUAUAUAGAUUCUGAAAAGAAAGAUCCCACCCUUCCCUGGGGUGGGUCUGUUAGCUAAGGAGCAGAACUAAGAGUGCACUGAAGAAUUCCCAAAAACCCCUCACACAUGAAAAUUUUGGGGAUAUGGUCCCUCUGUUCUUCCCACUUUUCACCACUGGAGCAGCCCUAUUCUAAAUAAACACAGUUAACAGUCUUAGGAUGGACAGAGAAGGCUGAGAGAACUACAAAGCUCAGCUGUUUUAUGUGGCCAACAGGGUUUACAUGAUGUAUAUACCAGGAGUCAGGAUUUGGCCCUGUAUGAUUUUGUUUUAAAGCAAAUGUGCUUUCU